rnacentral:rRNA from 1 species
GACGUAGGGGGCAAGCGUUGUUCGGAAUUAUUGGGCGUAAAGCGCUCGUAGGCGGGACAGGAAGUUCGUGUUGAAAGACCUCGGCUCAACUGAGGGACCGGCUCGAAUACUCUUGUUCUUGAGGCAAUCAGAGGGUGAUGGAAUUCCCGGUGUAGCGGUGAAAUGCGUAGAUAUCGGGGAGGAACACCAGUGGCGAAGGCGAUCACCUGGGGUUGUUCUGACGCUGAGGAGCGAAAGCUAGGGGAGCAAACGGG